CCAACACAAACACAUACAUUUACUUAUUAACCAUGAAGCUUCAUGGACUAGCCUUGAUAGGUUUUCUAUUUGCUGCGGCAAGUUGCAAAGCUAUUGAGGACAUUAAUUGUCAAGAGAACGAGCCAUUCACAUGUGGAAACACUGAUCAGUUAAGCAGUAAAAGUUUCCCAAAGACUUUAUCUUCGGUGUUGCUUCUGCUGCUUACCAGGUGGAAGGGGGCAGAGGACGUGGUCUUAACGUUUGGGAUGGCUUCACUCACCGAUACCCAGAGAAGGGAGGAUCCGAUCUUGGGAAUGGAGACACUACUUGUGAGUCAUAUACGAGAUGGCAGAAAGAUAUAGACAUCAUGGACGAACUCAAUGCUACUGGCUACAGAUUCUCAUUUGCCUGGUCAAGAAUCAUUCCAAAAGGAAAGGUGAGUAGGGGAGUGAACAAAGGAGGUCUCGAAUACUACCACAAACUCAUAGAUGGCCUCAUCGCAAAGAAUGUAACCCCUUUUGUUACCCUCUUCCACUGGGACCUUCCUCAAACGCUCCAAGAUGAGUAUGAAGGUUUCUUGAACCGCACCAUCAUAGAUGACUUUAGAGAUUAUGCGGAUCUGUGUUUCAAGGAAUUUGGUGGAAAGGUGAAGAACUGGAUCACGAUCAACCAGCUGUACACAGUGCCUACGAGAGGCUAUGCAAUCGGAACAGAUGCACCUGGUCGAUGCUCUCCGGAGGUUGAUGACAGAUGUUACGGCGGAAAUUCUUCAACAGAACCUUAUAUAGUUGCACAUAACCAGCUUCUUGCUCAUGCUGCGGCGGUCGAUGUUUACAGGACAAAAUAUAAGUUUCAAAGAGGGAAGAUCGGACCAGUGAUGAUAACUAGAUGGUUUCUUCCAUUUGAUGAUACUGACAAAGCCAGCAAAGAUGCAGCUGAUAGGAUGAAAGAAUUCUUCUUGGGAUGGUUCAUGGAGCCGCUAACAAAGGGUAGAUACCCAGACAUCAUGAGACAAAUUGUGGGUAGUCGGCUUCCCAAUUUCACGGAAGCAGAAGCAGAACUCGUUGCCGGUUCAUAUGAUUUUCUUGGUCUCAAUUACUACACCACUCAGUACGCCCAGCAAAAACCUAACCCAGUUACAUGGGCAAAUCACACUGCCAUGAUGGACCCAGGCGUGAAGCUCACAUAUAACAAUUCACGUGGUGAAAAUCUUGGUCCACUGUUCGUAAAAGACGCAAAAAACGGCAAUGCCUAUUACUACCCAAAAGGCAUUUAUUACGUUAUGGACUACUUCAAAACCAAAUACAAUAACCCUUUGAUCUAUAUCACUGAGAACGGAUUCAGUACUCCCGGUGAAGAAACCCGUGAGGAAGCUAUUGCCGAUUCCAAGCGGAUCGAUUAUCUCUGCAGUCAUCUAUGUUUUCUCCGUAAGGUCAUCAGGGAGAAGGGUGUCAACAUAAAAGGAUACUUUGCAUGGGCUCUUGGAGACAAUUAUGAAUUCUGCAAAGGUUUUACCGUUAGAUUCGGACUUAGUUACGUUAACUGGACAAACCUCGAUGAUAGAAAUCUCAAAGAAUCUGGCAAAUGGUACCAAAGCUUUAUUAACGGUACUACAAAGAACCCUGCCAAACAAGAUUUCCGCCGCCCAAACCUCUCAUUCCAGAACCAGAAGAAGAAGCUCGCAGAUGCAUGAAACACUUUUUCCCACCAUCAUGAUCAUCUUCAUAUCUCUACUACUUGCUUCAUAGAUAAGGAGCUUGUUCUAUCUAUAUUGUACUAAAUAAGUAUUCAAAUAAAAGAUGAUCAUUACUAAUGAGUAGUUUCGUUUCA